rnacentral:rRNA from 1 species
GACGAACGCUGGCGGCGUGCUUAACACAUGCAAGUCGAACGGAAAGGCCCUGCUUUUGUGGGGUGCUCGAGUGGCGAACGGGUGAGUAACACGUGAGUAACCUGCCCUUGACUUUGGGAUAACUUCAGGAAACUGGGGCUAAUACCGGAUAGGAGCUCCUGCUGCAUGGUGGGGGUUGGAAAGUUUCGGCGGUUGGGGAUGGACUCGCGGCUUAUCAGCUUGUUGGUGGGGUAGUGGCUUACCAAGGCUUUGACGGGUAGCCGGCCUGAGAGGGUGACCGGGCAAAAUGGGAACUGGGAACGGCCCAGAAUCCUUCGGGAGGGAAGAGGGGGGAAUAUUGGCAAAAGGGCGGAAGCCUGAUGCAGCAACGCCGCGUGCGGGAUGACGGCCUUCGGGUUGUAAACCGCUUUCGCCUGUGACGAAGCGUGAGUGACGGUAAUGGGUAAAGAAGCACCGGCUAACUACGUG